AAACGUAAAUGUAAUGCGAAGAAGACGGUAUCUUUCACCCAAGAAGAAAGGAAAAGUAAAUCCCUUUUUGUUACAGCUUUUCCAAGACGAGGAAUUUGCGAAACAUUCCACGAAGGAAGCUGCAUUUACGAUAGACGUAAAUCUGAUGCGAAGAGACGAAGACGGUAUCUUUUUACCAUGAAGAAGACGGAAAAGUAAAUCCUUUCUUGCUGCAGCUUUUCAAGAUAACAAAAAAGCAACAGCUAUACUUAAAAGGCGAUUUCUUGUCUGCUUCAGUUUAUUAAGUAAGGAAUUUCUCCUUUCAUGUUCGGAGAACUUUGUUUGAAGAUUGCUUUUUCCCAUUGAAUCGAGAAAAAUAAUCCAGAGCUUAGAA